rnacentral:rRNA from 1 species
UCCGUAGGCUGGCAGCUCAGUCAGUGGUGAAAGUUUGCAGCUCAACUGUAAAAUUGCCAUUGAUACUGGUUGUCUUGAAUUAAUGUGAAGUGGUUAGAAUAUGUAGUGUAGCGGUGAAAUGCAUAGAUAUUACAUAGAAUACCAAUUGCGAAGGCAGAUCACUAACAUUAUAUUGACGCUGAUGGACGAAAGCGUGGGGAGCGAACAGGAUUAGAUACCCUGGUAGUCC